rnacentral:rRNA from 1 species
AUGUGGAGCUGUUGGGCAAGCAGAGUUCUAUCUGGGUAUUUAGGCAAGAACAAAUCAGACGGAACAAGUUUGCUACGGGUGGGUGUGCAUCAAGCUGCUUCGUUGCCGGCGGCGAGUAAUCUCACACAUGUUUAUGGCGCAUAUGUACCAGAAAAUUCAAAAGGUUCUGAUCAUACGUGCGAGGGGAAUCAGGUAGGGCUUGAUGCGCCUUCCAUACGAAAUGUUGAUGAGAAUUACCCAAGUAGUCCAGAUGCAUGUCAGGUUGUUCGCUUGGUCUGCGCCAACGAGCAUCUCCUACAAGUCAUCAUCUCUCUCUUUGUCGGCUCCAUGUUGUAG